UUGCAGAUAAUGCGCGAGUAAGUGAGCUGUUGCAUACUUCUUUAUGGCACUCAAUGUAGCGUUCACCUCUACUCUUGGUCUGCUGUACAGUUUCCCAG
rnacentral:lncRNA from 1 species